AGGAAAAGGAACCUGUACGUUAGUCUUCUUUAAUUUUGAGAGGUCUUGUUGGAACUAGCUUAUCUAGUGCACGACAGAGACAGCGUCUAAACAGAUGACAGUAUAUCGAAAUAAUUAAAUACGUUAACAGGUACAUAAAAAUGUACGGGGCCUUAGCUCAGCUGGGAGAGCGCCUGCUUUGCACGCAGGAGGUCAGCGGUUCGAUCCCGCUAGGCUCCAUUAGGAUAGAAAUCCUACUAAACUGAAUAACAGUGAAGUUGAAUUCACGACUAACUUCUUAGGAAAAUAGAUAAUCUUCCUUGUGUGCAAGGCACACAUCGUCAGAUUCCUAAUUUUCUACAGAAGUUUCGCUAAAGCGAUUGUCGUUCAUAUCCUAAACUUGUCCAUUGAAAAUUGAAUAUCUAUCAAACAAUCCUUAUGUAUUUGAAAAGAUACAUAAAGAAAUAGUAACAAGAAAAUAAACCAAAAACGCUGUGAAUAUUUAAUGAGUUUUCUAAUUUUUGAAAAAAUUAGGUUAAUAA
rnacentral:tRNA from 1 species